GAGCUCGUGACUCAACGGUAGCGUGUCUGACUCCAGAUCAGAGUGCCACGUGUUCGAAUCCUGUCGGGCUCA
rnacentral:tRNA from 1 species